CAGUCGAGCGGAUUGAUGGGAGCUUGCUCCCUGAAUCAGCGGCGGACGGGUGAGUAACACGUGGGUAACCUGCCUGUAAGACUGGGAUAACUCCGGGAAACCGGGGCUAAUACCGGAUAGUUCUUUUCCUCGCAUGAGGAAAAGUGGAAAGGCGGCUUCGGCUGCCACUUACAGAUGGACCCGCGGCGCAUUAGCUAGUUGGUGAGGUAACGGCUCACCAAGGCAACGAUGCGUAGCCGACCUGAGAGGGUGAUCGGCCACACUGGGACUGAGACACGGCCCAGACUCCUACGGGAGGCAGCAGUAGGGAAUCUUCCGCAAUGGACGAAAGUCUGACGGAGCAACGCCGCGUGAGUGAUGAAGGUUUUCGGAUCGUAAAGCUCUGUUGUUAGGGAAGAACAAGUGCCGUUCGAAUAGGGCGGCACCUUGACGGUACCUAACCAGAAAGCCACGGCUAACUACGUGCCAGCAGCCGCGGUAAUACGUAGGUGGCAAGCGUUGUCCGGAAUUAUUGGGCGUAAAGCGCGCGCAGGCGGUCUCUUAAGUCUGAUGUGAAAGCCCACGGCUCAACCG
rnacentral:rRNA from 1 species